GUGGGUAUAGCUCAGUUGGUUAGAGCGCCAGAUUGUGGCUCUGGAGGUCAAGGGUUCGACUCCCUUUAUCCACCCCA
rnacentral:tRNA from 1 species